rnacentral:rRNA from 1 species
GGCGCGAAAACUUUACAAUGCUGGCAACAGCGAUAAGGGAACCUCGAGUGCCAGGUUACAAAUCUGGCUGUCGAGAUGCCUAAAAAGCAUUUCAUAGCAAGGGCCGGGCAAGACCGGUGCCAGCCGCCGCGGUAACACCGGCGGCUCGAGUGGUAACCGUUAUUAUUGGGUCUAAAGGGUCUGUAGCCGGCCGGAUAAGUCUCUUGAGAAAUCUGGCAGCUUAACUGUCAGGCUUUCAGGAGAUACUGUCUGGCUCGAGGCCGGGAGAGGUGAGAGGUACUUCAGGGGUAGGGGUGAAAUCUUGUAAUCCUUGAAGGACCACCAGUGGCGAAGGCGUCUCACCAGAACGGACCUGACGGCAAGGGACGAAAGCUAGGGGCACGAACCGGAUUAGAAACCCGAGUAGUCC